AGACCGAAGGGACCAAAGAUUCAUAAAAGGGUUAUUCACUGCAUAAAGGCAAAGAGGAAUCUGAAUAGCUGCCUGGUGCAACUACAAGAUAGAAAAGCACAAACAUGUACAUUAUAUAUAUUAAGCCAUAAGUACCUACAGAUACAUGUAUAUUGAAGGAUAUUAGAUCAAAAUCAGAAGAAUAAAUGUCUAUAAAAGUCAAGAGCCCACUGAUGCUGGAGUCCAUGCUGUAGAAAAGACAUGAAACAGAAGUGAGAAAAUGUCGACAUCAGUCAUCUAUGACUGAAGAUGGAGAUUGUCUCUAUUCUAAAAUUUCCGAGGAAAAUCUUGUUGUGGCUCAUCCAAUGAUCACUCCAUUUGCAGACUACCAGGUUCCAGUCUGAAGUAUACAUAGGAAGAGCAAAAUCUUUCUCAUUCAUAUAAACACUUACUACCUGUGAUCCAGAAGAAUGUCCUGAUUGUUUAGUCCAACAUAAGAUGGAUUUCAAUCUGACACUUUAUUCUGAAAAAUUAAGUGAACAGUCUUCUUAAUGCAGGCAUGUCUUUGUUACAAUAUCUCGACUCUGCAUGGUCAUCAAAACUUUGGACUCUUGUGAAUUAUUCAACCUAUAAAAACAUAAUUUUGUAAGUAAUAAAAGUAUAAUCAAA